rnacentral:lncRNA from 1 species
UCGAUUUCUUUUUUGGAAAUUAAUUUUAUUUGAUUUAAUAUUUGUAAAUUUAAAUUUAAAAUUUAAGUUAAAUUAUAAUUUGAAUUAUAUUUGUAAAUUUAUGAUUAUAUUUUGUAAUUCAAAUUUCAAAUUUAAAUUUGAUGGCUUUUAGUUUUAAAUUUAAAUUUUGAUUUUUGAAAUUGAAUUUUAAAUAAAUUUUGGAUGUAAAUUUUAAUUUUAAUUUUUAUUUUGGAUUAGAAUUUUAAAUUUAAAUUCAAUUU